GGGUGGGUAUUGGGGACCUUUGGGAUAGCAUUGAAAAUGUAAACGAGGAAAAUACAUUAAAAAAAAAAGAAAAAGAAAAAGAAAUGAGUCUCAUUUGCCUGAAGAUGUCAGUGGGGUGUGCCCCAGGGGGGAAGGGGAUACACAGCAGUGUGGUUAAUCCGCACUGUUCCAUCCAUGUUUAUGCUUUAGAUGUAGGUGUGUGCAGAAUGGGUUUCCCACACCCAAUACCACACAAAAGUUUAGCACAGAAGACAGGGAAUCUAAUAAGGAGUUUUCAGGUAGAUAUACAUCAAGACAGAAGGAUUUCAAAAGCAAUAUAAACAAUAAAUGUAAACAAAAUCAACUAUUCGUCUCAAUAUAAGACUUCAAUACAUAGUUCAGUAUUCUGAAAUGUUGGUAUAAUCACUUAUGCACAGUUGCCUACGAUCUAUCUAGUAACGUGCUCAUCAUAUGUGAAAUUUUCCUUUUAGUCUUUUUUUUUCUUAUUUUAAAAUAUUUAAAAAUAUCAACGUUUUUUUUACACUUUGCUGCAUCAUUUAUUGCAUUUGGUACCAUGUAUAGAACUGGACAUGCAAACUGUAUGAAGACUCCCAGACUCCUCAUUUAUUUUAUGCAAUUUUUCAGACACAACUUUUAGAUUCCAAAUAUGUACUUCCACAGCAGUGUGCAAACAUCGUACAUAUGUGCAAAGUAAUGUUCAUUAAGAAAUCAGUGUCCUUUUUAGACUGCUGGAUUUGUGUCAGAGAACAAUUCCUGUGCUUUAGAUGUGGAGUGAUACCUAUCUUGGCUCUGAUUAUUUUCAUUAAAAGGCUGAGCUGGUCAAUCAUGGCAUUUGAUAUGAUGACUGACAGUUAUAACUCUGAAUGGAAAUAAUUACCACCCACAGUGGUGCACAUACAUACAUUUAGCUUUAUCAUAAUUCUUUAUGAAUGUAUUUCCUUUUUGAUGUCUACUCCCAUAUGCCAUUAGCAUGCUCAGUUUAUGCUUGUCACAAUGCCUGACAUUCAUUCAUUUAUGCCUAUUUUAUGUUGUAAAGUGAACUAGGAAGUGUUGUAGUAGGCUUUUAUGCUUCUCAUGUAAGGUCACCUGAAGAUUUUCAAGGAUUGUACUUGGGUAAAUUCAUUGACCAACAUGUUAUGAUUGUAGACUUUGAUCAUUUAUGUGAAAUGUGCAGGAUAUGUAAUAGGAAAGCCUCUAGAAACUUUAGCAAUGCUGACCUAGGGCUAGAUGGCAUAGGGUGGGGGAGAUUGGAUGGAUGGCCGUAGGGAGAGAGCAAGGCAAACAGUUGUGAAGUUCUCUUUGGGUAAAGGAGAGAUUCUCAAAUUGUGUGGGGCAGUAGAUGUGAACUUGCUAAAAAUCACUAGGUUGUACAAUAUAAAUGAAUUUUAUGAUGUGUGGAUUAUGUGUCAAUAAAACUAUUAGAAAUUAUGCAAUGUUACUAGAAAGCUAACAAAACCCUGGAACCUCAAAACUUCUCUACUGAUCAAGGGUGUGCAGACACUUGCUUUGAAUCUAUGACUUACUGAUUAUCAGGACUGUCUGGGAGUAGAUGAAGCCCAGCUGCCUGUUAGUACAUUUCCACAGUUUGUUUCCCUCCGUUCUACAAGUUUGAUUUUCAUAGCCUCAGUGUUUAUGAGAGGAAUUAUCCAAGAAGAAAACUAAAUUUUACCAUGGGCUUAUUUUCAGGCUUUUGAGUUUUACUUACAAUUGAGCUGGGUUUGUAUGUUAUAUGAAUUGUGCCUGCUUUCUCCAUGUGUCUAGAGGAAGAGCCAUCUACUUAAAGGCCACAGGGGCAAGCUGGCUGUGCGCUGGCUGUGCUCAGGCUGUACAUUUGAAAUUCUGAAAACAAAGCAUUUUUCAUAAUUUUCUCCCAGUUCACUGGUGAAACUUACCCUUCUGUGAUUUGGAUUCAGCUUGACUAGAGGAGAAAUCAUUAUUCCAACGGUGAAGUACUCCCGUGGCAUCUAAACCCAGAAGAGAAUUAGGAAAAUGGCUUUAAUUACAUGCUUGUCUGUUUGACAGGCAGUAAGGAAAGGGGAGUUCUGCCUUUGAAAAGUGAAAGAGGGUCUGUUUGGAGGAGGGGACUGUCAAUACAAUUCCAUGCAUCCCUAUUGAGAGUUAUUUGCAAAUUCCUGAUGCAUGAAACAGGAAAGCCUUUGUUACAUACAACUAUUGCAUUGAAGGUUGUCAACUU
rnacentral:lncRNA from 1 species